rnacentral:lncRNA from 1 species
CAGCCCUGUAGGAGACACCUCCAGAGAAAGUAACAGCUCUCAAUUGAUUAGCUGAGGAAGACACCAGACAAAUGAGUUACACUGUUUUGGACUCCCCAACACAACCCAGCCACCGGCUGAAUGCCACCAAAUUACCUUCUAGUUAAAGGUUUAUGGAGCAAACGAAUCACCUAUUCAAUAUCUGCUUGAAUUUCUGACUCAAAAUACAUCAGAAGCCUCAGGGGCUGGAUCCUGACAUGAACCAGACACCUCCAGAAUUCUAUCCCAAGCAAAAGAUUAUUUCAAGGCCAGAACUCACUCCCUGCUGGAGACUGACUACAAGAUCCACUGAGAUUGAUGUGUAACCUGAUUGGGCCCACAGUGAUGCUAGCCCCUUCACCAGAUGGAACAAUAAUUCCAGACAAGCCAUCAGAGCAGGUCACACCACUUGACACCUUCUCGCCCCCUUGCCUCUCCUGCAUUCCAAACCCCUCUCUUUAAAAUCCCCAUGUUCCCUCCGUAAACUGGGCAGUGCCAAUUGUUGGAAAGAAUUCUGGCACUCUUUUCCUUCUUAGCAUGGAUAAAAAGAUUCACCCUCUUUUUAUCACACCUCACUCUUGUUAUUUUGGCUUCUUUCUACAAGUGGUGAGCAACCGGGCCCCCUUUGCUGGUUAUAGUAUGAACUAUUUUAUUUUUUUUAAUCUACAAUAAAAUAAAAUACAUUCAUU